rnacentral:rRNA from 1 species
UACGUAGGGGGCAAGCGUUGUCCGGAAUCAUUGGGCGUAAAGCGCGUGUAGGCGGCUCGUUAAGUCCGCUGUGAAAGUCCAGGGCUCAACCCUGGAAUGCCGGUGGAUACUGUCGGGCUCGAAUCCAGAAGAGGUGAGUGGAAUUCCUGGUGUAGCGGUGAAAUGCGCAGAUAUCAGGAGGAACACCAAUGGCGAAGGCAGCUCGCUGGGACGGUAUUGACGCUGAGACGCGAAAGCGUGGGGAGCAAACAGG